UGCGGAGGGGGGGCUGGGAGGGAGGGCCGAGCUUCGGGCCGGGGCGAGGCUCAGUUCCUGAAGAGCAGCAUCCGCUCGGAGCACGCCUGCCCCACCAGGCUCGCGUACUGCCGCACCGCGGCGUCCUCGCUCGGGUCUUUCUGGUGUUUCUUGUAAACACCGUAAGGCA